rnacentral:rRNA from 1 species
UGAGGAAUAUUGGUCAAUGGGCGGGAGCCUGAACCAGCCAAGUCGCGUGAGGGAAGACGGUCCUACGGAUUGUAAACCUCUUUUGCCGGGGAGCAACGGGGUCCUUGCGAGGGCCUUAUGAGAGUACCCGGAGAAAAAGCAUCGGCUAACUCCGUGCCAGCAGCCGCGGUAAUACGGAGGAUGCGAGCGUUAUCCGGAUUUAUUGGGUUUAAAGGGUGCGUAGGCGGGCUGUUAAGUCAGCGGUCAAAUGUCGGGGCUCAACCCCGGCCUGCCGUUGAAACUGGCGGCCUCGAGUGGGCGAGA